GGUUAAGCGACUAAGCGUACACGGUGGAUGCCCUGGCAGUCAGAGGCGAUGAAGGACGUGCUAAUCUGCGAUAAGCGUCGGUAAGGUGAUAUGAACCGUUAUAACCGGCGAUUUCCGAAUGGGGAAACCCAGUGUGAUUCGUCACACUAUCAUUAACUGAAUCCAUAGGUUAAUGAGGCGAACCGGGGGAACUGAAACAUCUAAGUACCCCGAGGAAAAGAAAUCAACCGAGAUUCCCCCAGUAGCGGCGAGCGAACGGGGAGCAGCCCAGAGCCUGAAUCAGUGUGUGUGUUAGUGGAAGCGUCUGGAAAGGCGCGCGAUACAGGGUGACAGCCCCGUACACAAAAAUACACAUACUGUGAGCUCGAUGAGUAGGGCGGGACACGUGGUAUCCUGUCUGAAUAUGGGGGGACCAUCCUCCAAGGCUAAAUACUCCUGACUGACCGAUAGUGAACCAGUACCGUGAGGGAAAGGCGAAAAGAACCCCGGCGAGGGGAGUGAAAAAGAACCUGAAACCGUGUACGUACAAGCAGUGGGAGCACAGAGCAAUCUGUGUGACUGCGUACCUUUUGUAUAAUGGGUCAGCGACUUAUAUUCUGUAGCAAGGUUAACCGAAUAGGGGAGCCGAAGGGAAACCGAGUCUUAACUGGGCGUUAAGUUGCAGGGUAUAGACCCGAAACCCGGUGAUCUAGCCAUGGGCAGGUUGAAGGUUGGGUAACACUAACUGGAGGACCGAACCGACUAAUGUUGAAAAAUUAGCGGAUGACUUGUGGCUGGGGGUGAAAGGCCAAUCAAACCGGGAGAUAGCUGGUUCUCCCCGAAAGCUAUUUAGGUAGCGCCUCGUGAAUUCAUCUCCGGGGGUAGAGCACUGUUUCGGCAAGGGGGUCAUCCCGACUUACCAACCCGAUGCAAACUGCGAAUACCGGAGAAUGUUAUCACGGGAGACACACGGCGGGUGCUAACGUCCGUCGUGAAGAGGGAAACAACCCAGACCGCCAGCUAAGGUCCCAAAGUCAUGGUUAAGUGGGAAACGAUGUGGGAAGGCCCAGACAGCCAGGAUGUUGGCUUAGAAGCAGCCAUCAUUUAAAGAAAGCGUAAUAGCUCACUGGUCGAGUCGGCCUGCGCGGAAGAUGUAACGGGGCUAAACCAUGCACCGAAGCUGCGGCAGCGACACUAUGUGUUGUUGGGUAGGGGAGCGUUCUGUAAGCCUGUGAAGGUGUACUGUGAGGUAUGCUGGAGGUAUCAGAAGUGCGAAUGCUGACAUAAGUAACGAUAAAGCGGGUGAAAAGCCCGCUCGCCGGAAGACCAAGGGUUCCUGUCCAACGUUAAUCGGGGCAGGGUGAGUCGACCCCUAAGGCGAGGCCGAAAGGCGUAGUCGAUGGGAAACAGGUUAAUAUUCCUGUACUUGGUGUUACUGCGAAGGGGGGACGGAGAAGGCUAUGUUGGCCGGGCGACGGUUGUCCCGGUUUAAGCGUGUAGGCUGGUUUUCCAGGCAAAUCCGGAAAAUCAAGGCUGAGGCGUGAUGACGAGGCACUACGGUGCUGAAGCAACAAAUGCCCUGCUUCCAGGAAAAGCCUCUAAGCAUCAGGUAACAUCAAAUCGUACCCCAAACCGACACAGGUGGUCAGGUAGAGAAUACCAAGGCGCUUGAGAGAACUCGGGUGAAGGAACUAGGCAAAAUGGUGCCGUAACUUCGGGAGAAGGCACGCUGAUAUGUAGGUGAAGUCCCUCGCGGAUGGAGCUGAAAUCAGUCGAAGAUACCAGCUGGCUGCAACUGUUUAUUAAAAACACAGCACUGUGCAAACACGAAAGUGGACGUAUACGGUGUGACGCCUGCCCGGUGCCGGAAGGUUAAUUGAUGGGGUCAGCGCAAGCGAAGCUCUUGAUCGAAGCCCCGGUAAACGGCGGCCGUAACUAUAACGGUCCUAAGGUAGCGAAAUUCCUUGUCGGGUAAGUUCCGACCUGCACGAAUGGCGUAAUGAUGGCCAGGCUGUCUCCACCCGAGACUCAGUGAAAUUGAACUCGCUGUGAAGAUGCAGUGUACCCGCGGCAAGACGGAAAGACCCCGUGAACCUUUACUAUAGCUUGACACUGAACAUUGAGCCUUGAUGUGUAGGAUAGGUGGGAGGCUUGGAAGUGUGGACGCCAGUCUGCAUGGAGCCGACCUUGAAAUACCACCCUUUAAUGUUUGAUGUUCUAACGUUGACCCGUAAUCCGGGUUGCGGACAGUGUCUGGUGGGUAGUUUGACUGGGGCGGUCUCCUCCUAAAGAGUAACGGAGGAGCACGAAGGUUGGCUAAUCCUGGUCGGACAUCAGGAGGUUAGUGCAAUGGCAUAAGCCAGCUUGACUGCGAGCGUGACGGUGCGAGCAGGUGCGAAAGCAGGUCAUAGUGAUCCGGUGGUUCUGAAUGGAAGGGCCAUCGCUCAACGGAUAAAAGGUACUCCGGGGAUAACAGGCUGAUACCGCCCAAGAGUUCAUAUCGACGGCGGUGUUUGGCACCUCGAUGUCGGCUCAUCACAUCCUGGGGCUGAAGUAGGUCCCAAGGGUAUGGCUGUUCGCCAUUUAAAGUGGUACGCGAGCUGGGUUUAGAACGUCGUGAGACAGUUCGGUCCCUAUCUGCCGUGGGCGCUGGAGAACUGAGGGGGGCUGCUCCUAGUACGAGAGGACCGGAGUGGACGCAUCACUGGUGUUCGGGUUGUCAUGCCAAUGGCACUGCCCGGUAGCUAAAUGCGGAAGAGAUAAGUGCUGAAAGCAUCUAAGCACGAAACUUGCCCCGAGAUGAGUUCUCCCUGACUCCUUGAGAGUCCUGAAGGAACGUUGAAGACGACGACGUUGAUAGGCCGGGUGUGUAAGCGCAGCGAUGCGUUGAGCUAACCGGUACUAAUGAACCGUGAGGCUUAACCUU
rnacentral:rRNA from 1 species